GACGAACGCUGGCGGCGUGCUUAACACAUGCAAGUCGAACGGAAAGGCCCUGCUUUUGUGGGGUGCUCGAGUGGCGAACGGGUGAGUAACACGUGAGUAACCUGCCCUUGACUUUGGGAUAACUUCAGGAAACUGGGGCUAAUACCGGAUAGGGGCUCCUGCUGCAUGGUGGGGGUUGGAAAGUUUCGGCGGUUGGGGAUGGACUCGCGGCUUAUCAGCUUGUUGGUGGGGUAGUGGCUUACCAAGGCUUUGACGGGUAGCCGGCCUGAGAGGGUGACCGGCCACAUUGGGACUGAGAUACGGCCCAGACUCCUACGGGAGGCAGCAGUGGGGAAUGUUGCACAAUGGGCGGAAGCCUGAUGCAGCAACGCCGCGUGCGGGAUGACGGCCUUCGGGUUGUAAACCGCUUUCGCCUGUGACGAAGCGUGAGUGACGGUAAUGGGUAAAGAAGCACCGGCUAACUACGUG
rnacentral:rRNA from 1 species